rnacentral:rRNA from 1 species
GUAAGGAAUAUUGGACAAUGGACGCAAGUCUGAUCCAGCCAUGCCGCGUGAAGGAUUAAGGUCCUCUGGAUUGUAAACUUCUUUUAUAAGGGACGAAAAAAGGCUUUUCUAAGUCGUCUGACGGUACCUUAUGAAUAAGCACCGGCUAACUCCGUGCCAGCAGCCGCGGUAAUACGGAGGGUGCAAGCGUUAUCCGGAUUCACUGGGUUUAAAGGGUGCGUAGGAGGGCAGGUAAGUCAGUGGUGAAAUCCUAGAGCUUAACUCUAGAACUGCCAUUGAUACUAUCUGUCUUGAAUAUUGUGGAGGUAAGCGGAAUAUGUCAUGUAGCGGUGAAAUGCUUAGAUAUGACAUAGAACACCUAUUGCGAAGGCAGCUUACUACGCAUAUAUUGACGCUGAGGCACGAAAGCGUGGGGAUCAAACAGGAUUAGAAACCCGGGUAGUCC